rnacentral:rRNA from 1 species
CCUGGCGGCACUAGCGCGGUGGUCCCACCUGACCCCAUGCCGAACUCAGAAGUGAAACGCCGUAGCGCCGAUGGUAGUGUGGGGUCUCCCCAUGUGAGAGUAGGUAAACUGCCAGGC